rnacentral:rRNA from 1 species
GAUGAACGCUGGCGGCGUGCUUAACACAUGCAAGUCGAACGAGAAUCAACGGAUUGAGGAUUCGUCCAAAUGAAGUUGAGGAAAGUGGCGGACGGGUGAGUAACGCGUGAGGAACCUGCCUCGGAGUGGGGAAUAACAGUUGGAAACAGCUGCUAAUACCGCAUAAUGCAACGAAAUCGCAUGACUUUGUUGCCAAAGAUUUAUCGCUCUGAGAUGGCCUCGCGUCUGAUUAGCUAGUUGGCGGGGUAACGGCCCACCAAGGCGACGAUCGGUAGCCGGACUGAGAGGUUGAACGGCCACAUUGGGACUGAGACACGGCCCAG